rnacentral:lncRNA from 1 species
AUAUAUAUGCUGUACUUGCUUAGCCCCUUUCAGCUUGUCAAAAAUCUUGUGUUCUUUUGGGGAGGGUGUUGAUUUUUAUUAUAUUUACUUAAUUUUGGGGUGAGGAAGGGGGGCUUGAGACAGUGUGUGUCUGCAUAGCCCUGGCUGUCCUGGAACUCACUCUGUAGACUAAGCUAGCCUCAAACUCAGAAAUCCACCACCACCACCACCCGGCUUACAUUACUUCACUGUGUUCCUACCCAAGCUUGCAGAGAUCUACUUGUAGCAGUCAGAGAUCAACUGGGUGGAGUUGGUUCUCUCCUUCUACCAUGUGGGUCCUGAGCAACAAACUCGGGUCCUCAGACUUGGUGGGCAUAUGCCUUUACUCUGAGCCACUUUAGCAGCCCAGGGUGCUGGAUUGAACGAAUAUUUAUUAUUUUACUGUAAAGCUGUACAUGUUUAUUCGCCCCUCUGUUACUGGACAUUUUAACAUUUCUUCAGUUGGUUUAUCUGUUUAAACUUUUCACCAUAGUUGAUUUAACAUUAUUAUGUAUUCUUUGUCUUGUCCCUGUUUGUGUGUCUCUUGGUAUAAACACACAGACUCUUAUAUGCAUUCUCUGUUCUGCUGGUAUGUCUGACUUGGUGUUGUAUCUAUAACCUUUUGGUGGCUUGAAUAAGAGAUCGCCCCUCGUGAGCUCAUGUGUUUGAACACUUGAUCCCCAGCUGGUAGAAAUAACUGGCACAGCCUCUUUAUAUUUCUUUUUACCUAAUAUGAGCCUUAAGUCUCUUGCCUAUCUGAUGUGUAGAAGAUGGUUUCUAUGUUUGACUGGGGUGUGUGUGUACUUUUUUUUUUUAAUUGAGGCUGGGCAUAGACCCUAAAAGCCUCAUGUGGUGCUAGGUAAGCAAGGUGACCAGCAUGCUCCACAUCAGAUAGGCAGCUUUUAUAUAUAUGAUACACCUGUGAACCUGACUUCAGCUGAGCUGGACAAUCUAGUACUGA